UACGAAGGGGGCUAGCGUUGCUCGGAAUUACUGGGCGUGAAGCGUGCGUAGGCGGUUUGUUAAGUCUGUCGUGAAAGCCCCGGGCUCAACCUGGGAAUGGCGAUGGAUACUGGCGAGCUAGAGUACGGUAGAGGAGAGUGGAAUUCCCGGUGUAGCAGUGAAAUGCGUAGAGAUCGGGAGGAACAUCAGUUGCGAAGGCGGCUCUCUGGACCAGUACUGACGCUGAGGCACGAAAGCGUGGGGAGCAAACAGG
rnacentral:rRNA from 1 species